rnacentral:rRNA from 1 species
AGGAAUAUUGGUCAAUGGGCGCAGGCCUGAACCAGCCAAGUAGCGUGAAGGAUGACUGCCCUAUGGGUUGUAAACUUCUUUUAUAAAGGAAUAAAGUCGGGUAUGUAUACCCGUUUGCAUGUACUUUAUGAAUAAGGAUCGGCUAACUCCGUGCCAGCAGCCGCGGUAAUACGGAGGAUCCGAGCGUUAUCCGGAUUUAUUGGGUUUAAAGGGAGCGUAGAUGGAUGUUUAAGUCAGUUGUGAAAGUUUGCGGCUCAACCGUAAAAUUGCAGUUGAUACUGGAUAUCUUGAGUGCAGUUGAGGCAGGCGGAAUUCGUGGUGUAGCGGUGAAAUGCUUAGAUAUCACGAAGAACUCCGAUUGCGAAGGCAGCCUGCUAAGCUGCAACUGACAUUGAGGCUCGAAAGUGUGGGUAUCAAACAGGAUUAGAUACCCUGGUAGUCCACACGGUAAACGAUGAAUACUCGCUGUUUGCGAUAUACUGCAAGCGGCCAAGCGAAAGCGUUAAGUAUUCCACCUGGGGAGUACGCCGGCAACGGUGAAACUCAAAGGAAUUGACGGGGGCCCGCACAAGCGGAGGAACAUGUGGUUUAAUUCGAUGAUACGCGAGGAACCUUACCCGGGCUUAAAUUGCAGAUGAAUUACGGUGAAAGCCGUAAGCCGCAAGGCAUCUGUGAAGGUGCUGCAUGGUUGUCGUCAGCUCGUGCCGUGAGGUGUCGGCUUAAGUGCCAUAACGAGCGCAACCCUUGUUGUCAGUUACUAACAGGUUCCGCUGAGGACUCUGACAAGACUGCCAUCGUAAGAUGUGAGGAAGGUGGGGAUGACGUCAAAUCAGCACGGCCCUUACGUCCGGGGCCACACACGUGUUACAAUGGGGGGUACAGAGGGCCGCUGUCCGGUGACGGUCGGCCAAUCCCUAAAACCCCUCUCAGUUCGGACUGGAGUCUGCAACCCGACUCCACGAAGCUGGAUUCGCUAGUAAUCGCGCAUCAGCCAUGGCGCGGUGAAUACGUUCCCG